GCACAUUCCAGAGAAGGGAGGCAAGCACUCAGAUUGAGUGUCCUGGCUUUUCCUUUAGGAAAAUGCAGGAGAGAAGCAGAAGGUGGUUGGGUUGAGAAGUCUAUAACUCUCAGAUGAUGCAUGCUGACUCCCAGGAAGGUGACAGUGCUCUGACAAGCCAGCUUGGUGAUGCCACACCAUGCCAAUGAGGAUGAUGGUUAGAAACCAUUAACCUGUAUUGAAUCAAAGACAGCCAGAAGGAGUCUUCUCCUGUGACUCGCACCAACUCGGAAGUUAACCAUGAGAAA
rnacentral:lncRNA from 1 species